rnacentral:rRNA from 1 species
GUGGGGAAUCUUAGACAAUGGGGGAAACCCUGAUCUAGCCAUGCCGCGUGAUCGAUGAAGGCCUUAGGGUUGUAAAGAUCUUUCGCUGGGGAAGAUAAUGACUGUACCCAGUAAAGAAGCCCCGGCUAACUCCGUGCCAGCAGCCGCGGUAAUACGGAGGGGGCUAGCGUUAUUCGGAAUUACUGGGCGUAAAGCGCACGUAGGCGGACCAGAAAGUUGGGGGUGAAAUCCCGGGGCUCAACCUCGGAACUGCCUUCAAAACUCCUGGUCUUGAGUUCGAGAGAGGUGAGUGGAAUUCCGAGUGUAGAGGUGAAAUUCGUAGAUAUUCGGAGGAACACCAGUGGCGAAGGCGGCUCACUGGCUCGAUACUGACGCUGAGGUGCGAAAGCGUGGGGAGCAAACAGGAUUGGAUACCCUUGUAGUCC